UACGUAGGGAGCAAGCGUUGUCCGGAAUCAUUGGGCGUAAAGCGCGCGUAGGUGGCCCUGUAAGUCCGUUGUGAAAGUCAAAGGCUCAACCUUUGAAAGCCGAUGGAUACUGCAGGACUAGAGUACGGAAGAGGCGAGUGGAAUUCCUGGUGUAGCGGUGGAAUGCGCAGAUAUCAGGAGGAACACCAAUAGCGAAGGCAGCUCGCUGGGACGUUACUGACACUGAGGCGACGAAAGCGUGGGGGAGCGAACAGG
rnacentral:rRNA from 1 species